UACAGAGGGUGCGAGCGUUGUCCGGAAUCACUGGGCGUAAAGGGCGCGUAGGUGGCGCGACAAGUCAGUGGUGAAAGUUCGACGCUUAACGUCGAAUCGGCCACUGAUACUGUUGGGCUUGAGCACUGUAGAGGCUAAUGGAAUUCCGGGUGUAGCGGUGGAAUGCGUAGAUAUCAGAAGGAACAUCAGUGGCGAAGGCGGCUUCCUGGACCAAUACUGACGAUCAGGUGCGAAAGCGUGGGGAGCAAACAGG
rnacentral:rRNA from 1 species